rnacentral:lncRNA from 1 species
UACCCUCAAAAAUCGCUCUAUAAUAAUUAACUGUUUGUGUUAAGCUUGUGUUUUCCAGAAGCAGAGCCUGAGAUAAGGAUUGUGUGCAAGUAGUUUACCCAGGAAACACUUUCAGGAGAGACCCACAAAGUUGUAGAAGCAGAAGUCUUGGAGGGGGAAAGGCAAAAACAAUAAAAAAAGUAGGUCACAGUGAACAUCUGAAUAACAUUUUUGAAGCAAAGGUGGAGAAGAUUCCUCAAGCUCCCCAAUCCACCAGGUCUGUGAAGAGUGAUGAGCUUCGUCUCCUCCUCCAUCUUUACGAAUGAAAGGCUCUAGAGACAAUAUCAACUAUAUCAUUCAAUGUCAAUGAAGCAUGGUGACUGUCUACGUGCCUGGCUCCAGAGACAGAACGCUGGGUUCGCAUCCUGACCUUUUAUUUAAAUGACUAUUUGACCUUGAGAAAGUUACUUAAUAUUGGAAUAUCUAUAAAUGGAGAUUCUCUAGUAACUUUCUCAUUCCGUUAUUGCGAGGUUAAAUGUGCUGAUACGCAUACAAAACUUUGCAUAUUGCUAGUCCUAUAAAACUGUCCACUUAAGGUUAACUUUAAAUUGUUACUAUUGGGGCCAGCCUGGUGGUGAAGCAGUUAAGUGCACACGUUCAGCUUCGGCAACCCAGGGUUCACUGGUUCUGACCUGGGUUUGGACAUGGCACCGCUUGGCAAGCCAUGCUGUGGUAGGUGUCCCACAUAUAAAGUGGAGCAAGAUGGGCACGGAUGUUAGCUCAG